rnacentral:lncRNA from 1 species
GAGGGAAAUUGACACAGCCAUGAUGAGGCCUGGCUCACAAGAGCCAUAGUUACUGUAGGAGUUUCUGUGGCUGAAUAUGCUUAGCUAUUGAGGCAAGGACAUGUGCUGGAUGUGUAUGCAGUCUUUGAAGCUGGAGAGGCCUGUGUUGGAAACUGUGCUCUGUCCCAUACCAGUUCCCUGACCUUGGGUAAGUCACAUAAAGUGCGAGUCUUUUAUUUUUUUCUAGAGUGGAAAUGGGGCUAUGAAUUCCUAACACUGGUAGGAUUAUAAGGAAAAGGACAAGAUUAAAGUAAACAAUACAUUAUAAGCAUGGUGGCUAGCACAUGGCUAGUCUUCUCAAUGAAUA